UACGUAGGGUGCGAGCGUUAAUCGGAAUUACUGGGCGUAAAGCGUGCGUAGGCGGUUUGUUAAGUCCGUUGUGAAAGCCCUGGGCUCAACCUGGGAAUUGCAGUGGAUACUGGCGAGCUAGAGUGCGGUAGAGGAUGGUGGAAUUCCCGGUGUAGCGGUGAAAAUGCGUAGAGAUCGGGAGGAACACCCCGUGGCGAAGGCGGUUCUCUGGGGCCUUACCCUGAC
rnacentral:rRNA from 1 species